UUCAGCUUUGCUUAACACCUCCUGAAGCCAGAGAGACAUCACCUUCUCCAAGCUGCCUCUUUCUGCUGCUGUUUUUUCCUCCUCAACCUUCAUUAUGUAUCCUGCAGGAUAUGGAGCUCCUCUAAAACACACCUUAAAGCUCAGGAAACAAAAUAGGACUCAGUGUUGCAGCCUACUCACAGUAUCGUCACCAUUUUCCAGGGUUGCUCGAGUCUGAGGUGAGAACUAAUGAAUUGUCGGGGCCACAGGAGGAGGACAAGGACGGGGAAGGAAUAAGAGUACAAACAUCUGCGUGUAGAGGACAAAGCUCCUCGCAGUCUCCCAGGUUAUGCAGCCACUUUGUAAGUAUUUGGCAGCUGAGCCAUCCCUUUCCUUGCAAUCACUCUGUUUGCUUAGGAGCAAACCCAAAUUCAGUUUGCACCAGGGUUUGUUUGAACACAUCCCUUCACUUCAUUGUUUGAUUCGGGAUUUUUUUUUCCCCUUCUACGCAUCUUCCUCCUUCAUGGUUGAUUUGGAUUAUGAUGUAAACUAAGCGAACAUGACACAGCUGCUCUCUCCAAUAACUAAGGAGAUGCCGGCUGCCACUCACCCCGGCACUUUGGUGCUUCACAGCAGGGCUGGUGGGCUGAUGGGGGCCCUCUCUUUUGGCAUCUGUCUGUGCCAUUCUUGUGCCGCUUGCUGAAACAAAACCAGUGAUGUUAGCAGCAUAUGGGCAGCCAGAACAGGGGCCAUUUCCCUUAUUUGCCAACAAAGUAAAGGACAAGGCCCAGUGGAAUGUGAAUAUACGGAGGAGAGCUGGCAGCACGGUGGCAGAAGAGGAAACCACAAGCAGGAAUGAUCCCAGGAGUCACCUCUGCCCAUACGUCCCUUUUCCGAAACAUGUGGAGUCUCUGAGCUUUGCAUGGACUGUUUGACUCGAAGUUCUGUGAGUUUUGAUCAGCUGAGCUGGCACUGCCAAGCUGAACUCAUCUGGCUGAGGUGGACACCCCAUCUCAGAUACAAAGCCUGACUCCAAACCUCACUGAAAGCUGAGAUUUUGUUGACAAUCAAAUUCAUGUAACAGCUAACAGAAAAUAAAUCACUUCCAUCUGCAUGCUCUUGGACUAAUAAAGGCUUGGUCUGAACCUGGAGGAGCCAAGAACCUGUCAGGGAUCCAAUCUAAUUGUAUAUCUAACCUGAUCAGAAGUAAGAAUAAUUGGAAACCUCUCAAGUAGAUUGUUCUUCUUAACUUACCGGGACAAGCCACACACCAACAGCUUGCACAAUCUGACUUCUGCAAACAAAAGCAGUCUGGAUAAUUUUGGAGAAGACACUGAGCAUUCAAACUUCCAGGUUAGCUGUCUCUGUUUGCUGCCAGGAAAAAAAAAAAUAGACACUUCUUCCUUCAGAGUAGUACCUCUAGGCACAAGGUUACAGCACUGGGCAUGUUUUAACAUAUAGGCUGUGCUGAAACAGAGAACUUGAGGAAGAUGCUUAGUGAAGAAAUAUAGCUCUGAAUAGAAUGAUGUCUGCAAAAACCAAGGAUGACAAAUCUACUGCGAUAUGAAAACAUAUGUAUAUGGCACUGUGAAUUUAAAAGGUGCCUCGCAUAGCAGCCAUAGCUCAGAUAUUUGUUAAGAUUCAGAUUCAUGAAAAAUAUCCCCCUUUUUGUUAGCAAUUUUUGCCUGCAAAAUUUAACUCACUUCUGUGUGCUCUCAUAAUAUGCAAGUAUUCUUCAAAAUUGCUACCUCUCUUUCUAUGUCUAUAGCAAUGCUUACCUAAGUCUCCAUCCUCUUUCAAAGUAUCACUUAUAGUAUCUGAGAACCUAUAUAUUAUUAUAAAACCCUUCAUUUUGGGAGUUCACUAUUUGCUCAAAUUGUCUGGGAAUUAUAGGCUCAGAGGGUGUUAUUUCUAUCUGAUAAUUUUACAAAAAUCUUUACAUUUAAAAAAUAUGUUGUGUUUUUGUGUGAUUAUUAUAAAAAUA